CCAGACUCCUACGGGAGGCAGCAGUGAGGAAUAUUGGUCAAUGGACGAGGGUCUGUACCAGCCAAGUAGCGUGAAGGAUGACUGCCCUAUGGGUUGUAAACUUCUUUUAUAAAGGAAUAAAACGAGGCACGUGUGCCUUUUUGCAUGUACUUUAUGAAUAAGGAUCGGCUAACUCCGUGCCAGCAGCCGCGGUAAUACGGAGGAUCCGAGCGUUAUCCGGAUUUAUUGGGUUUAAAGGGAGCGUAGAUGGGUUGUUAGGUCAGUUGUGAAAGUUUGCGGCUCAACCGUAAAAUUGCAAUUGAUACUGGCAGUCUUGAGUACAGUUGAGGUAGGCGGAAUUCGUGGUGUAGCGGUGAAAUGCUUAGAUAUCGCGCAGAACUCCGAUUGCGAAGGCAGCAUGCCGGCUCCACACUGACGCUGAGGCACGAAAGCGUGGGUAUCGAACAGGAUUAGAUACCCUCGUAC
rnacentral:rRNA from 1 species